UGUGGAACACACUGAGCAGACUAACCGAAAAAAAAAAAACGCAAAUCUAGGCCUCUUUCGUCUUUACGACGAUAUCAUCUUCCUUCUUAUCCCGGUGCUUCCCAUUACCAAAUGACCAAAAUGGGUUUCGUUCCCACCGGCCGCAAUGUGGGCUAUGCUGUCUAAAACAUGUUCCUGUAAUGGUGCCCUCCGAUGUUGGUUUCUCUGUUGUUUGGAUCUCUGAAAUUCAAUUACUCGUUGCAAAUGUUUGAUGCUUAGUUUUUUUUGCGUGUCUGGUAAUGAUAUGGAGAGGAUCUGUUUGGGGAAAAAACUGAAAAUUUGGUUGUGUUUGGCGGUUUUGUUAGUUUUAUUUUUUUGAGGGUAUUAUCCAGUUGCUGCUUUGCUGGAUUUAUUGGCCCAGAUUGAUAGAUUUAGUUGAGUUUUCGGUCUUUCUGGAUCUGGGUCCGCGUGUUUUAGGCUUGCUACAGUGUUUUUGCCUUAUUUUCUAGAAAAAAACUAUGGCCAAUUCUCACAUUCCGAGGUGAGAGAAUUUGUGGCGAUGGUUUGUCAGUAUUAUCGAAGUAUGGAGAAACAGAUUUUGGGGUAUAUGGGUUUUUUUAUUUGUUUAUCCAGAGAUAAGUGACGGCAUUCGCUUAGUAUUGUAUUUGUCAAAAUUUGGGAGGAAUUUUUGGUUGAUUUCCAUGCUUUAGGGAAAGCAUUAGAGUUUGUCUCUCUCAGCAAAUUACAACCUUUUGGCUUUUGCCUCUGGGUUUAUCAUCGUUUAGUGGUUGCUAGCUUGUAUUUUGUGAGUAAUGUGGUUUACUUUGGAGGCAUUUGGAGUUUUUUGAUAAGAGGUUUAUGUUAUUAGAGUUAUAAAGGCGAGGACAAAAGAGGCCUCACAUGUCUAUUAAGAGUAUCAUUCAGGAUAUGAGGGGUGAGUUUGGGAGCAUGUCCAGAAGAGGGUUUGAGGUGAAGUCUGCAUAUCGAAUGAAAUCCAGGUCGCAACGGGUGGUCCAGGACAGCCCAGUGGGGGCAAUCCAUGCUUUGAAGCAGAGCUGUUGGGCUAACUUGCCGCCGGAGCUUUUGAGGGAUGUGCUAAUGCGGAUAGAGGCCUCUGAAGAUACUUGGCCUCCCCGGAAAAAUGUGGUUGCUUGUGCUGGUGUUUGUAGGAGCUGGAGAGAAAUCAUGAUAGAAAUUGUGAAAUCACCAGAAGUUUCCUGCAAGUUGACAUUUCCGAUAUCCUUGAAGCAGCCAGGCCCAAGGGACUUCCUCUUUCAGUGUUACAUCAAACGAAAUCGUAGCAGCCAAAUAUAUUAUCUUUACCUUGGAUUAAAUCGAGCCUCAACAGAUGAUGGCAAGUUUCUUCUUGCUGCACGGAAGUGUCGACGCCCUACUUACACAGAUUAUAUUAUCUCUUUGAAUUCCGAUGAUGUUUCAAAAGGGAGUAGCACCUUCAUUGGAAAGUUGAGAUCAAACUUUCUGGGGACCAAAUUCACAAUCUAUGAUGCGCAACCUCCACAUACUGGAGUGAAAGUCACCAAAUGUCGUUCUACCAGGCUAGUUAAUUUGAGGCAAGUCUCCCCAAGAGUCCCCGCUGGCAACUAUGCCAUUGCUCAUAUUUCAUAUGAGUUGAAUGUCUUGGGCUCCAGAGGUCCUAGGAGAAUGCAGUGUGUCAUGGAUGCCAUUCCCGCCUCUGCUGUUGAGCCAGGAGGUGUGGCUCCCACACAGACUGAAUUCCUUCUCAGCAGUCUGGAUAAUUUUCCAUCUCUCCCUUUCUUCAGAUCAAAAUCAAUGCGCACAGAGAGUUUCCUAUCUGGAAAUUUGUCUGGUGAGAGUGAGGGAAGACUGGUUUUAAGGAACAAAGCUCCUAGGUGGCAUGAACAACUCCAAUGCUGGUGUCUGAACUUCAAUGGACGUGUGACAGUUGCUUCAGUUAAGAAUUUUCAGCUGGUUGCAUCUCCUGAGAAUGAAGCUGCUGGGAGCGAGCAUGAAAAUGUCAUUCUCCAGUUUGGCAAAGUGGGAAAAGAUAUAUUCACCAUGGAUUAUCAGUAUCCAAUCUCAGCUUUCCAGGCAUUUGCCAUAUGCCUCAGCAGCUUUGACACUAAGAUCGCCUGUGAAUGACUCGCAGCAGCAGUCAGCUGUCAAUCUUAUCUGAUCAGCUACAAUGCCUUUAAGACUUUAACUUGGGUCUUUUAAUAUGCACAGCGAUCGAUCUCGCCAACUCGAACUUAUAUUUAGGUGUUGGCAGAUGCAAUAGAAGUUGAUUGCAGGAGGGGACAUCUGGUGACAAAGUUGUUCACGAGUGGAGUUGCCAUCUUGGCUGUUAGGCCCUUUGGCUAUUUCUCUGUACAUAAAACUGUCGGUGUUAUGAGCAAUACAUGCCUAUGAUGGUGGUUUCUUUUUUGAUUAGUAGCUUAUGGUGGCUGCUCUCUUGCUAACAUAGUUAGGCUUGGCCAUUUUAAGUGCUUGUUGAGUUGUAUUUCGUGUGAGAUAUUGGAUAGACAACUGAGUUGGGACUGCUUCGUGAGUUUCUCAGUGCUGUUUUUGCUUCGGUGGCCUGUGUUUUAUUUUUUUGUUAUAUAUGCUGUUUAUUGCUACAACUGUUUUAAUUUGGAGAUGCUUUGCCAA